rnacentral:lncRNA from 1 species
UGUUUUUCUAGUACAUAUUCAAAUGAGAUGAUGGAAUCAUCAUGUUUGUGGUGAUAAGAUGAAGCAAAAACAAAAAAUGUGAGUGAAACUCAAAACGUUACUGUUCAAAUUUUGUGUCCAAGACAAUGGAACACUUUUCUGGAUGUUACACUCAAAGUUCAUAUUCUUUAUCAUGUAACUACUUCCAUGUGAGGCAGUGUGAGAUAAUUAUAAGCAUAUAGAGGAGAAACUGGCUUAAUCACUAUGGUCUAGCUUUGUCUGACUUUUUACCCUUUUGCUCCUCUGGAUACUGAUAUAAUUAUGACCGUGGUGAUGGGAAAUGCUAAAGGUUUUUUUGUUGUUGUUGUUUGUUUUGUUUUGUUUGUUUGUUGUUAAGGAAGCUGAGUUUUCAUACAAAGGAGAAGGUAAUAAAAACAUAUAUUUGAAGCUGAGAAACACUUAUGAUGGAACUCAAAAGACACUAAAUUUUUUGCAAAACUAUUUACUUCUUUGUUUUCUUUCCUUAAACUAAGCUCCCAUUACCUUAUACAGCAUGAAUCUACUAGUUCCUCUUUCAUCAACUAGCCAGAAUACUGUUCUCCUUUGCAAUAUGUUUAUUUGAGUAGACUUUGUUAAAUAAAUAUUAAGUUGCUACACAACUACUACGGAAAAUGUAAUGGAAAAUAACAAAAUAAUUUUUAAAAGAAAUAAAACAUUAUCCUUUAGAAAGUAAUCCGAUAUGACGAAAGAGCAUGAUGCUAAAUUCUGAGAUGAGGCCAGUACACACCAUUUUAUUCUGUUUAAGAUGGGAAAACUAAGACUGGGGCUUCACUGGAACUUAUAUCUCAAAACUAAAUUUAUUUUAUUAUUUGUGAGUGAAACAUCUGUAUUCACAUAUAACAAUCUUGUGACAGAUAAUCAAGUCAUUUUGUGACCUCUAUACCUGUUUUUAAGGUCAAUGGAUAUUCUCUUUGUUAUUUUGUUUCUGAAUAUACCAAAAGUCAUAGAUCCCAAAUCUGCAAGUCAAUGAAAUAGACAGUUAAAAACUACCAAAUUAUUUGUUCUUAAGGUGAUUAAUAUUUACUGAAUACUUGUCCUGGGGCUAGAAAAAAAUUUUAAAUAGACAGAUGAAUAAAUAAAUUCAGUGUCUCAGAAGAAAUACAUUUGCAGAAACAAAAUAUACAUUUUAGUUUGAAACCUUAUGGUUCCUAGUCGGAUUCGUUAACCACUGCACCACGACAGGAACUCCAAGGGUAAUGCUUUCUUAGGCUUUAUCUUUAGCAAUGAACCAUCUCUCCUUCCUAUCCAUAAUUGACUAUUCAGUGGUCCUGGAAUCUACCCUGAAGUCUUAUCCCCCCAUCUGAGCCUUUGUAUACAUUUUUCUCACUGCCUGGAAUGACUUGCACCCUCUUCCCUGCUAAGAAAAACUUUUCUGAUAAAAAAAAAAAAUGUAUUUAUUCAGGCCCAGCUAAAAUCACAACUUCUCUACAAAGUUUUCCCCUUUAAGUCAAGAAUUACAUAGUAGUUACGAAUAUGGAAGAUUCAGUCUACAAUGUUCACAAUUCUUCUUUAUAUUGUCUUUCUAUAAUUUAAGUUUAUGCCUGUUUCAACCACUACAUGGUAGGAUGUUCAAAUCCACAACCUGGUCUUUUUCAUCUUUGCAUCCCACAUUGCCCAGCUCAGUGCAAGGUAUGUAUUACUUGCUGUGUCUCAAGGUUUGAGCUCAUAAACUUUGAAGAUGAAUGAAAGAUCUCUGGGUUAAGAUCUCCACUUGUCUGAUCACUAGCACUCUGGAGGCAAGUAACUCAGCAUUUCUGAAUCCUCAGUUUCUCCUUUAAUAAACUUAGAGUAAUAAUGGAUUCUACGUCAUGAGAAUGAGUAUCAGAAUGUGUGUGAGAUGAGCUAAAUACUCCAAAAAAUAGCUACAUAUUAGAUAUUCUAUGAAUCUUUCUUGAAAUCAAUUCAAGUAUUUGUAUGGGAGAGCCUUUCUACCAUUUUAAAUGUGGGUGGUGACAAAAAGGGACACGAAGGUGGCCGAGGUUGGGAGGGGCACUUGCUCUCAACAGGACCCUCUCUAGUCCAAAAGCCUGUUUGUACCUGAAAUCUGACCUUGUGCCUCAGAGCAUAAGAAUCACUUUGAUCCAACCCCUGACACUUGAUUUUAUUGUUCUCUUUGUGAAACAAUCUCAUUAGAGAAAUCAUGCUGCUGUGAAAGCAGGUCACUCAGCUGGGGGCAGGCAAAGAAAGUCUUGCUUGGCUUAGUCAUGACCUCCAUGAAGAGUGAAGUGUUAGUGAGGAGCCCUGGGAUUUGCAGUGUGCCACGGCCAAGGUUUUCACUAGAGGCUGCUGGGAGUUUGGGCAGAAGGAAGAGUAAUGAAGGGGUUGACUGAACUGCUGCUGUGGGUAUUAGCAUCAGUUCUCCCCUCCUGGCUAGUAAUGAGCUCUCUGCCCAUCUGGUGGGAAAUCCCGGAUGGAAGGAGGAAGCAGGGUGCUGCCAAGGGUGAUACUGACAGUGAUAUAUUUAGAAUAAACACCCAACUGGGUUGCUCAUCAUCCGCAGUCAACAUUGACCUUCUUGCAUUUUCUGCAAGUACAAAAAGUGUUCAUUGAAGAACCUGGAACUCACUUCGAUUUAAGAUACAUUUUUUGGCUUCUUGUCUUUAUAAAUGUAAGG